rnacentral:lncRNA from 1 species
UAGUAGAAAAACUGCCUGCAAAACAAAGCCAGAAGAUAUCAAACAUCCUAAGAUCUGCUUUCACAAAUCAAAAAGCAUACUGCUGUAAAUCCUUGUGGGACACAGUAUGGGAGCCCUUCCAGGAUGUGACCUUUAGAUAUUGACAGAGGAGUUGUAUAUGCAUAUAUUCUCAUAUGGCAAGGGGAACGAUGGGCACAGGAGAGAAGGAAACUGCACCCAGCAUAACAGGGAUAGUAAAAUCGGGUGACCAUUACAAUAUCUGCACUGAGAAAAUUUGA